AUUGAACGCUGGCGGCAUGCUUUACACAUGCAAGUCGAACGGUAACAGGCCUUCGGGCGCUGACGAGUGGCGAACGGGUGAGUAAUGCAUCGGAACGUGCCCAGUCGUGGGGGAUAACGCAGCGAAAGCUGUGCUAAUACCGCAUACGAUCUGCGGAUGAAAGCGGGGGACCUUCGGGCCUCGCGCGAUUGGAGCGGCCGAGGUCAGAGUAGGUAGUUGGUGGGGGAAAGGCUCACAAAGCCAACGAUCUGUAGUUGGUCUGAGAGGACGACCAGCCACACUGUGACUGAGACACGGCCCAGACUCCUACGGGGGGCAGCAGUGGGGAAGUUUGGACAAUUGGCGCAAGCCUGAUCCAGCAAUGCCGCGUGCAGGAAGAAGGCCUUCGGGUUGUAAACUGCUUUUGUACGGAGCGAAAAGGCUCCCUCUAAUACAGGGGGCUCAUGACGGUACCGUAAGAAUAAGCACCGGCUAACUACGUGCCAGCCGCCGCGGUAAUAC
rnacentral:rRNA from 1 species